UACAGAGGGUGCAAGCGUUGUUCGGAAUUACUGGGCGUAAAGCGCGCGUAGGCGGCUUUGUAAGUUAGAGGUGAAAGCCCGGGGCUCAACUCCGGAACUGCCUUUAAGACUGCAUCGCUUGAAUCCGGGAGAGGUGAGUGGAAUUCCGAGUGUAGAGGUGAAAUUCGUAGAUAUUCGGAAGAACACCAGUGGCGAAGGCGGCUCACUGGACCGGUAUUGACGCUGAGGUGCGAAAGCGUGGGGAGCAAACAGG
rnacentral:rRNA from 1 species